CCUACGGGAGGCAGCAGUGGGGAAUAUUGCACAAUGGGGGAAACCCUGAUGCAGCGACGCCGCGUGAGUGAAGAAGUAAUUCGUUAUGUAAAGCUCUAUCAGCAGGGAAGAAAAUGACGGUACCUGAGUAAGAAGCCCCGGCUAACUACGUGCCAGCAGCCGCGGUAAUACGUAGGGGGCAAGCGUUAUCCGGAUUUACUGGGUGUAAAGGGAGCGUAGACGGCAGUGCAAGUCUGGAGUGAAAGGCGGGGGCUCAACCCCCGGACUGCUCUGGAAACUGUACGGCUGGAGUGCAGGAGAGGUAAGUGGAAGUCCUAGUGUAGCGGUGAAAUGCGGAGAUAUUAGGAGGAACACCAGUGGCGAAGGCGGCUUACUGGACUGUAACUGACGUUGAGGCUCGAAAGCGUGGGGAGCAAACAGGAUUAGAUACCCGAGUAGUC
rnacentral:rRNA from 1 species